rnacentral:lncRNA from 1 species
AGACUUAAAAAAAUGAUAUAGUGAGUGGUUUGGGUUUUGAUAGUGUAUAUGGAAUGAGAAAAAAAAUUUUGAGAGCCAUCAAAAUGAGAGUGUUUUGUAGUAUAUCAUCAAAUAAGUUUUUUUGGAGUGGAUUGUAUAUGGAGUUUUUUGUAGUGUACAACCAAAUUUCGGGGUUGAAUUAUAUACUGUCAUAGUUUAUUCGAGUUGAAUUAUAUACUGUCAAGUCCACCCUAAAGGUUAUGCUAUUAAGGGUUGGAUGAUUAUUUGCACCAUAGAUGGCUAAUCGAGUUGUCCAAUGCAAAUGGACAUUAUCUAUGGUGCAAUAGUGUUUAUUCUGCAACUAGGUUCUAAUUGGAACCGGUUGGUAGAGUCUCCAUGCAAAGGUAUCUCAUGGGACCUCAUGGAACAAUGGAGGAAGAAAAGGUCUAGAGCAGAAGACGAUUAAUUGUGAAGAAACUAUUACCGAUGCAACGUAGGCCUGAUUCAAGCAGAAGAUGAUUAAUUGUGAAGAAACUAGUAUUGAAAAUAAUUGUAUUAUUUCUUAAAAAUGUUAUAUUUAUCGUUUUAAAAAUAAUUUAAAAGAAUAUUUAAAAUUAAAUAAGACAUUUUAUUUCUCGGUUACCUUGUGCACAAAUGCUUGCAAUGUGAUUGUUGUCAUUUAAAAGAACAUUCGGAUUAGAAUCCAUGGAGUGAUCGGCGGUCGUCGGCGAUGGUUAAGCGUGAACAGCGGUAAUCGUCAACAGUGGAUGAGGGUGGCGGUGGACGGAAUGGCCUAUUUAUAGUGGGGGACCAUUUGAACGGGGGGCAAAAUUGGAAAAAAAAUUAAUACUUCUGACACACUAUUUUUUUCAUUCAAUCUGAUUUAUUUCAUUUAAAUUUAAGCAUUCAAUUUUAUGACACACUUUUUUUUUCUACCAAUCUAAUUUACUUCAUUUAAUCUGACACUUUUUUUUUCUUCAUUCAUUUCAAUUGUUUUUCUACAUCUAACACCCUUUUUUUCCAUUUAAUCUCAUUUAUUUCAAUUUUAUUUUUCUACAUCUAACACCUUUUUUUGUCAUUCAAUCUCAUUUAUUUCAAUUUUAUUUUUCUAGAUCUAACACCUUUUUUUUUCAUUCAAUCUCAUUUAUUUUAAUAUUUUGAAUUUGUUUUUUUUUUACAUAAAGGUGGUGCUGGCCAUUGCCAGGCCACCACCAAAAAAAUUUUGAAUUUUUUCGCAUACUGAUACUGGCCAAUGACAGCCAAAAUGUAGAAAAAAAAUUUUAAGUAAAGGUCGUGCCAGCCAUUGCCAGGCCACCACCAAAAAAAAUUUUUUUUUUUGAAUUUUUUCGUAUACUAGUGCCGGCCAAUGACAGCCAAAAUGUAAAAAAAAAAAAAGAAUUUGGUGGUGGCCUCGCAAUGGCCGGCACCACCUUUAUGUAAAAAAAAUUACAUUUUGGGUUGUCAUUGGCAGGCACUAGUAUACGAAAAAAUUCAAAAAAAAAUUUUGGUGGCCUGCCAAUGGCCGACACCACCUUUACGGGAAAAAAAAUAAAUUUUCGGGUGCUGGCCUAUCAAUGGUCGGCAUUAAACAUUAUAUAUAGUGAGUGGUUUGGGUUUUGAUAGUGUAAAUGGAAUGAGAAAAAAAAUUUGAGAGAGCCAUCAAAAUGAGAGUGUUUUGUAGUAUAUUAUCAAAUAAAUUUUUUUGGAGUGGAUUGUAUAUGGAGUUUUUUGUAGUGUACAACCAAAUUUCGGGUUUGAAUUAUAUACUGUCAUAUUUUAUUGGAGUUAAAUUAUAUACUGUCAAGUUCACCCUAAAGGUUAUGCUAUUAGGGGUUGGAUGAUUAUUUGCACCAUAAAUGACUAAUCGAGUUGUCUAAUAUGCAGAUGGACAUUAUCUAUGGUGUAAUAGUGUUUAUUCCACAACUAGGUUCUGAUUGGAACCGGUUGGUAGAGUCUCCAUGCAAAGGUAUCUCAUGGGACCUCAUGGGACGAUGGAGGAAGAAAAGGUCUAGAGUAGAAGACGAUUAAUUGUGAAGAAACUAGUAUCGAUGCCACGUAGACCUGAUUCAAGCAGAAGACGAUUAAUUGUGAAGAAACUAGUAUUGAAAAUAAUUAUAUUAUUUCUUAAGAAUGUUAUAUUUAUCGUUUUAAAAAUAAUUUAAAAGAAUAUUUAAAAUUAAAUAAGACAUUUUAUUUCUCGGUUACCUUGUGCACAAUGCUUGCAAUGUGGUCGUUUUCAUUUAAAAGAACAUUCGGAUUAGGAUCCAUGGAGUUAUCGGUGGUCGUCGGCGAUGGUUAAGCGUGAGCAACGGCGGUCGUCAACAGUGGUUGAGGGUGGCGUUGGACGGAAUGGCCUAUUUAUAGUAGGAGACCAUUUGAAAGGGGGGCAAAAUUGGAAAAAAAAUUUAAUACUUUUGACACUUUUUUUUUUCAUUCAAUCUAAUUUAUUUCAUUUAAUUUAAAGCAUUCAAUUUUAUGACACACUUUUUUUAUCAACCAAUCUAAUUUAUUUCAUCCAAUCUGACACUUUUUUUUUCAUUUAAUUUUAAGCAAGCCAACAUGACACUUUUUUUUUCAUUCAUUUCAAUUUUUUUUUCUACAUCUAACACUUUUUUUUCAUUUAAUCUCAUUUAUUUCAAUUUUAUUUUUCUACAUCUAACACCCUUUUUUUUCAUUCAAUCUCAUUUAUUUCAAUUUAAUUUUUCAACAUCUAACACCCUGUUUUUUCAUUCAAUCUCAUUUAUUUUAAUUUUUUGAAUUUUAUUUUUUUACAUAAAGGUGGUGUCGGCCAUUGCCAGGCCACCACCAAAAUUUUUUUUUUUGAAUUUUUUCGUAUACUGGUGCCAGACAAUGACAACCAAAAUGUAAAUUUUUUUUACAUAAAGGUGGUGCCGGCCAUUGCCAGGCCACCACCAAAAAUUUUUAUUUUUGAAUUUUUUCGUAUACUGGUGCCGGCCAAUGACAACCAAAAUGUAAAAAAAAAAAUUGGUGGUGGCCUGGCAAUGGCCGGCACCACCUUUAUGUAAAUUUUUUUUUUUUACAUUUUGGGCUGUCAUUGGCAGGAAAUUUUUUUUUUUUUGGUGGUGGCCUGCCAAUAGCCAGCACUACCUUUACGCGAAAAAAUUUUUUCCGGUGCUGGCCUGUCAAUGGCCGGCAUUAAACUUUAUAUAAAGUGGGUGGUUUGGGUUUUGAUAGUGUAAAUGGAAUGAGAAAAAAAAUUUUGAGAGAGCCAUCAAAAUGAGAGUGUUUUGUAGUAUACCAUCAAAUAAGUUUUUUUGGAGUGGAUUGUAUAUGGAGUUUUUUAUAUUGUACAACGAAAUUUCGGGGUUGAAUUAUAUACUGUCAUAUUUUAUUAGAGUUAAAUUAUAUACUGUCAAGUCCACCCUAAAGGUUAUGCUAUUAAGGGUUGGAUGAUUAUUUGCACCAUAGAUGGCUAAUCGAGUUGUCCAAUAUGCAGAUGGACAUUAUCUAUGGUGCAAUAGUGUUUAUUCCACAACUAGGUUCUGAUUGGAACCGGUUGGUAGAGUCUCCAUGCAAAGGUAUCUCAUGGGACCUCAUGGGACAAUGGAGGAAGAAAAGG